ensembl:lncRNA
GAACCCCCAAAUUCACUGCACUGCCCCCCACUUCCCUCCUGUGUUUCAUUUUCUGGUCGAUUGUGGCCGUUUACGAGCGGAAAAAUCAAUCAGCAGCUCCGGGAAAGGAGGGGGGACCUCCCUCCCAGGGACUGUGCACCCACCCAAAAUCUCACAGGGACCCCCAGGGGAAGGAGGGGGGACAGGGCAGGGACUGUGCACCCACCCAAAAUCUCACAGGGACCCCCAGGGGAAGGAGGGGGGACAGGGCAGGGACUGUGCACCCACCCAAAAUCUCACAGGGACCCCCAGGGGAAGGAGGGGGGACAGGGCAGGGACUGUGCACCCACCCAAAAUCUCACAGGGACCCCCAGGGGAAGGAGGGGGGACAGGGCAGGGACUGUGCACCCACCCAAAAUCUCACAGGGACCCCCAGGGGAAGGAGGGGGGACAGGGCAGGGACUGUGCACCCACCCAAAAUCUCACAGGGACCCCCAGGGGAAGGAGGGGGGACAGGGCAGGGACUGUGCACCCACCCAAAAUCUCACAGGGACCCCCAGGGGAAGGAGGGGGGACAGGGCAGGGACUGUGCACCCACCCAAAAUCUCACAGAGACCCCCGGGGGAAGGAGGGGGGACAGGGCAGGGACUGUGCACCCACCCCAAACCCCACGCUGGUCUGGGAACUGAGGGGCAGCCAAAGGGAAAAGCAGAAGAAAGAAGUGAAAACAGCCCCAGCGCUCGCCACCAGCCAGCCCAGCCUUCCCUUCCUUCCUUCCUUCCUUCCUUGUUUUUCAUUUUCAAACACCAGGGGUGGGGAGGGAGCACGAGGGACCCCAGCCCAGGCAGGCACAGCUGGGUCCAGGCAGCCCCAAAAAAUGGAUUUGUAGCGAUGUCACCAAGCUGCCACCUCACCCCACACCCACAAAGCCACCCCGUGCCUGGGGAUGGGCUCUGCUGUCACCCUGCUGGUUGGGGACAGGGGACAGUGAGGCUGGUGCAGAACAGAGGGGCUGGGGGAGCCCGAAGGUGCCAGCAGGGUCACAGAGGGGUUGGGGGACCCUGCAGGUGCCACCAGGUCACAGCUCCCCCUCCCUCCAGGCCAGCCCCAUGUUCCUCAUUUUCAGCAGCCACGUGGGGUGCAGGGGGUGGGGGGAAGUUGCAAAAAAAAAAACCAAAAAAACCCAAAAAAACCCAAAAAAAUAAACCUCUCCAAAAACCUGCUUGUUUUUGUCACUGCAGCACAGGAGUGAGCAGCAGGGCUGAGAAAAAGCGUGGAAAAAUUGAUGCAGCCACAGGGACAGGAGACAGGGCUGGGUGUGUCCCCUGGGGGCUGCAGGGACACCUCUGUAAAUGCAGAGAGGCAAAAGCUGUCCCUUGUGUCCCUUGUCACUGCAGGGAUGUGGCACACAGGGAUCCCUCACCCUCCCUGCGCCCAGAGUGGGUGCAGAGCCACUUCCAGAAAGCAGGCCUGAAGUUCAGGGAGAUGACAAGAAAGAGAAAAGGGCCCGGAGUGCCCAAGCUUGAAGGGCUGCAGACUGCCAGAGGGGAGGGGUGGAUGGAUAUUGGGAUGGAAUGGUUCCCUGCCAGGGUGUGGGGAGCAGGGAUGGAACUCCCAGAGAUCCCUGGCAGGGCCCAGGGCCAGGCUGGAGCCCCCCGGGGCAGUGGGAAGGGGUCCCUGCCCACGGGAUGAGCUUUAAGGUGCCCAGCACGCUGUGACCACACAGGUCAGUGUCCCCCCACGGUGGCAGUGCCAUCACAGCCGUGUGACAGCGCUGGGGACGCCCCAAGGCCGCUCUGCACCACCCCCUGUGCUCCCUCCAGGCCAGGAGUGCGGCUGGACCCUGCCAGCUGCCCUUGGGGCACUCACCCACACCUGGCAAAGCCAGCACGGGCAGGAUUUGUGCCCUGCCAGGGCUCAGCGGGAAUCCUUCGUUGCCCAAGGAAUGCCUGGGGUGGGCAGCUCCAGGAGGAUCUGCAGGGACCUUUCCUUUCCCUGGGAUGAGGAAGGGUGGGAAAACAGGAGGAUAACCCCAUUCCCAACCCCAGAGAGCAGCAACACCCUCCCCAUCACCCGCCCAGGAGCGUGUGGGUUAGAGAUCCUGGGAUCCCUGGGAACCAUCCCAGAAGCUCCUUCCCACCCAGGACUGGGGCAGAAUUCAGAACCAUCCCAGCCCCAUCCAGCAGCUCCUUCCACCCAGGACUGGGGCAGAGAUCCUGAGAACCAUCCCAGCCCAUCCAGAGACCCCUUCCCACCUAGGAGUGGGGCAGAGGUCCUGGGAUUCCUGAGAACCAUCCCAGAGGCUCCUUCCCUCCCAGGACUGUGUGGGGCAGAAUUCAGAACCAUCCCAGCCCAUCCAGAGACCCCUUCCCACGCAGGACUGGGGCAGAAUUCAGAACCACUCCAGCCCCAUCCAGAGCCUCUUUCCCACCCAGGAGUGGAUCAGAGAUCCUGGGAUCUCUGAGAACCAUUCCAGCCCCAUCCAGAAGCUCCUUCCCACCCAGGACUGGGGCAGAAUUCAGAACCAUCCCAGCCCAUCCAGAACCCCUUCCCACCCAGGACUGGGGCAGAAUUCAGAACCAUCCCAGCCCAUCCAGAACCCCUUCCCAC